rnacentral:rRNA from 1 species
GGCUCAGGACGAACGCUGGCGGCGUGCUUCAUACAUGCAAGUCGAACGGGGGCAUCAGCAGUGGCAACACUGUUGGUGUUCUAGUGGCGAACGGGUGAGUAACACGUGAGGAACUUGCCCCGGACUCUGGGAUAACAGGUGGAAACACCUGCUAAUACUGGAUGCCAUCGGUGGAUCGCAUGGUCUACCGAUGAAAGAACUUCGGUCCGGGAUGGCCUCGCGGCCUAUCAGCUAGUUGGUGGGGUAACGGCCUACCAAGGCAUCGACGGGUAGCUGGUCUGAGAGGAUGAUCAGCCACACUGGGACUGAGACACGGCCCAGACUCCUACGGGAGGCAGCAGUAGGGAAUCUUGCGCAAUGGGCGAAAGCCUGACGCAGCAACGCCGCGUGCGGGAAGAAGGCCUUCGGGUUGUAAACCGCUUUUGGCAGGAACGAUUGUGACGGUACCUGCAGAAGAAGGUGCGGCCAACUACGUGCCAGCAGCCGCGGUGACACGUAGGCACCAAGCGUUGUCCGGAUCUAUUGGGCGUAAAGAGCUCGUAGGCGGUUCAGUAAGUCGGGUGUGAAAACUCUGGGCUUAACCCAGAGACGCCACCCGAUACUGUUGAACUUGAGUUCGGUAGGGGAGUGGGGAAUUCCUGGUGUAGCGGUGAAAUGCGCAGAUAUCAGGAGGAACACCGGUGGCGAAGGCGCCACUCUGGGCCGAAACUGACGCUGAGGAGCGAAAGCGUGGGUAGCAAACAGGAUUAGAUACCCUGGUAGUCCACGCCGUAAACGUUGGGCACUAGGUGUGGGCUCCAACCAACGGAGUCCGUGCCGUCGCUAACGCAUUAAGUGCCCCGCCUGGGGAGUACGGCCGCAAGGCUUAAACUC